AGACAAAGGCAGUUAUUUGUGUUUGGGGAGGGAGACAGGUACAGAGCCUUUAUCUGAUCUGCGUCCCCAGGCAGCACCACCUUCUCCAUCGAUGGCAGAUCUCCACUCUGGAGGAUUUGACCCUAUCUGGGUUUCUUCUUAGCCAAGGAAUGUUUCCUACCCCUCAUCUCCUCAUGUCUCACCUGUGAUGCUUUUUGAGAAGGGAACAACACGCUGUUUACCACGCAGCACAGUUUCAAAGCCUUUGUGCGUUUCUCAUCUCUGGCCAAAGCUUAUUAUUUACCACCCUAAAAAUUCACCAGGGUAAGGGACAGCAGAAGUUAUUUUCUUUAUUUUUACACCCCAAUUUUCACACAGCAAAUGCCCUGCAUUAGGACCAGAUCCCCCUCAGAUGGAAGUUAUUAACUUUCAGCAGAACAGGCUGAUUUCAGCCAGCCACAGCCUGUGCCCUUCGAACACAGUUGCUUUGCAGCAUCCCUGUGUUUAUUUUUUUUCUUUGGAGGGCAUGAUUCUUUAAACAUAUUUGUUUUACACAGAGCAGCAGUUGAAUCCUAACUUUUUUUUUUCCCACAAACACGUAAAAAGAAUAUUAAUAGGGAAUAUUAACAGAGGUGAGUGCAGCAUGAAGCUAGUUAGGUUGUAGUAGCUGAGAAAUAUGAACUAGUGAACAUAAUCCAUAAACUCCAUUUGGUUACUAUAAUACUCCAAUCUGUAUUUAUUACAACCCCACUCUGAUGCUUAUACAACUGCAAUUGCUAGAUUUAUACACUCUAAUGAUUUCACAAUAGGAAAAACCUGUGUCUUUAUCUUUCUUUUCCUGUCCAAAAUAACCCCUUCCACAUAUACUUCAGGCUUCUCCGGACCUUGUCUGGGUUUAAUCACAGGCUUUGGGACAAAAUGUGCAUUAUUAAGAAGUAUAAAUAUUUUCAGAAGCAAUCAAAGGGCUGAAAGAUUGAUUCGGCAUGUAGAUUGGAUUUAAUUCGAAGCAGCUUUGUUCUAAUGAGGACUACUGGGAUACAAAGACGGCAGCCGCUUAUGGCCACCAGUUGGGAACUUCGACUCGCUGCAGCAACCUGUCAAGAAUUCCAAGGAACUGCCAGGCAUGAUGGGACCUUUUUUGCACAGGGAGGCGUUUAUCCCUAAGGGAGUGACAGCUCUGUGUGGGCUUGGAACCUCCUGUCCUUGUUGGGUGACCCAGCAGAACUGCUGGACCUGUCCUGUCUCCCGCCUCCAACGUCCAACAAAACAUUAUUGGGAUGAUGCUGAACCAAAGGGGACCCUUGGCUGCUUUCCCCUGAGACUUCAAAAGCCCCAGCAGUGAGGGUAAAAUUGCCUGCAGGGUACGUUUGCUGAAGCCUGUUAAUUCCUCCUGAGGUCAGCGGGUACCGGGCGCUGGGCAGCACAGCCUCUCCUGGCCGGGCACGGCGGUCGCGUGUGCUCCGGCUGCUUCCCGAGGGACAGGGACAGUCAUGAAGAAUGUGGGAUUUCCCACAGGAAUUUGGAAGAUGCCCAUGUCUAAGACAAUAGUGAGGAUUGGGCCAAAAUCCAGAUCCAGCCUUGAUUCCUUCAUCCAAGUAACCCCGUGCUGACCCACGGCUGCUGAUGGAUCGCAGCGACGUGGACCUUCCUCCCUCCUCGCUGCCCUGCAUCAGAUCACCAGGAGGAACUGAGAGCACUGUGAGUAAGAGAUACAUUUUUUUUCCUCACACCAAGCAAUUCAUUGCAAAACUUCAGAUUUUGAAAUGACAAGGUCAGAAUGGCUCAUAUCUGCAGUGCUGGGGCUUGGGGAACAUUCCUGCAGUUCUUAUACCCAGGGCUGGAAAUACAGGGAAAACAUUUUGUGAUAUGUACUGUAAUCACCUCAUAACCAGAAAAAUGGAGAAUUAAUUAUUUCUCUUUUAACACAAACAAACAUUUAUCUUCCAAAGACUCCAUUCAUUAAGAACUGCCAUUGAAUCCAAGAUUGAACCUAUUGUUAUGAAUCCUAAAUGAAUUCAAGUUUGUCUACCAUGAACAAAGCUGCUUGCCAUCUGAUAAUCCAAAUUUGCUCAGGAAAAAAGAAUGAGCAAAUGUUAGAAGCAGCAGGUGAAAUCAUGCCACAGUUAUUAAGCCUUCUUUCAGGGGAAGCACAGGGUAGAUUAAAUUGUUAUGUUAGGCCAUGUUGUGAGCGCACGUCAAUUUUGUCUGAGAUCUUAUCCUAGCUCAGAACUGUUUCCUCCUAAAUUAAACAAUGUUGAUGACAUGAGAAGCAUAUUGACCCAAAGAUUCAAACCUUUGGAUUCAGCAGACUUCUGAUCUUUUGUCCACAGAGUAUCAAGUUGUAAAACUGUGGAAUAUUAAAUAAUCAUAAUUAUCUUCAACUUGCCCAAGUUCACUUGUCAUUUUGGGACACUGGCACAGAUUUUUCUUGCUGUUUUUUUUUCAGAACCAGGCAUUGAUUUUGACUGCCAGCUGGUAUAAUUUGCCAUUGACCUUAUAGAUUGUGGGCCUAUACUAAUAUUAAGUCUCAUGCACCAACUGUGGGCUGUAAUUCUAUCUCUGGUGCUCUUCACCUCAUUUUUGCAAACGCCAUUGUCCAGUAAAGCAGCAAACAAAAAUCUUACAAUCAAAACAACUGAAUUAUGCUAGUACUUUGAUCAGCUCUUAUCAGGCACAGGCAGUUCUUGAGAUUCAGAAAUGCAGUGUAAUCCACCUGGGAUAUGAAAUCAAAUUUAAAAAUGAGCUGAACAGACAUUUCUAGGAAUACGUAAAUUUCUAAAUAAACCAGCUUUUUAAUUCCACCUUUUCUAUAUUAGAACAAAUCAAUAUUGUCUGCACCUGGAGUUGAGUUUCAACUGUCAUAAUUAAAUAUUAUCCUGCUUCUUGCAGCACAGCUACACAAGGACUUUUACUCCUGACACAAGAGUUUCCUUAAGUAGGGACAACUCACUUAUUACAGCAGUGAUUUAAGAUCCACAUGGUUCCAUCAUGUUUUAGAAAACAAAUCUCUACCAAAACACACAGCACGAUUCAUCUCUGGAGUCAGAGCGCUGAAGAGAUGGAGUAAUAGAAGAAAUAAUAUAUUUUAAAUGCUUUUUAAAUACAAACAUAGUGAUACAUUAAAUAAUGUGAUCUACCCAGCCGGACAUGCAAACCUCAUGUUCAUUCAUCACUUCAUUCUCUUCAGCUGUAAUGUUGGUUUUUGGUAGUCACUAACACUGCAUAAGUUUGAAUGGGACGGGAAACAAGGACAGUGCAGGGCUCUGUGUUAGCUUAGACAAGUAGGAUGUCAUUGCCAGCCUAAAUUUGUUGAUGAAACCAGGCAUUAAGCAAGCAAACCUUCAGCCAGUGAAGCACGAGUUUGCUGAUUUUAAGUAAUGACAUCCAGGAAGUGACACAGUGGAUUUACACCAGCAUGUACCUAUGGACUAAUAAUGGCCACUUAGCCCUGGCAAAAUAACGAGUCAAAAUGGAGAUUCACCUCUCCCCUGAAAAUAAAUAUUUUGGUUUUCCUUAUUCUAGUCUCAUUUCUAAUGUUCAAGAAUCUGGGUUUGAUCUUCUUUGAGGAUGGGGAAGGACUUUUGUCUCUGAAGAAUGGAGCUCAUGGAGUCACUUGAUCAAUCCCCAUUUGCACCCAGCAAAGACCAUGGAGAUGUUCAGUGGUACAAAAGGUAUCAGCUCCCAAUCUGGGGGCUGAGUGUGAGGCUGGGCCUUUCUGAGGGCUGGGGUUUGUGUCCAUUUGUAGCAGAUAUUGGUGAUCUAUUAUUGUUUCACCUAAAUCCCUGGACAUUGCAGGUCCACAUGCACAUGGUGACUUCACAUGCUGAAAACAGAAGUGUGACCAGGAGCUUUGUCCCAGUUAGACUAUUUAGCUCCCCUUCUGCAAUGUUUUCUUUCCAUACAUCCUAAUUCUCCCAUCCCUUUCCCCUAAUAACAACAUAAAUGAGUACUCUACAGGUGUAAUUACAGUAAUAGCUCUUUUACUGCAAAUCCUGGAAGCCUGUAACGUGUAAUUCAUUUUUUCUGAUAGUCUCCUAUUCCAACACUAGACAUGUUAUUUUAAAAUGUCUAGGACCUGAAAGCUAAAUUUAUAGUGAUAGAUAAUAGUAAUGGAAACCAAGCAUCCUCUUUAGUUCAGACUUUAGAGCUGUGCUGUAUCUCUUGGCCAAUUGUUGCCUUGCUCACCUAGAAAUAUCAUACCCACCACUACCACAGUGAUUCAAAUAUCAGAGUUAAACAGAAGGAAGCAAAAUACAUCUCAAUUUGUUUAUUAUAAAGCAUGAAUCUAUAAAAACUCAAGACAUCCUAAUAUGCAAUGUGGAUUUUUUCGUUAUUCCAUGGCAAAUUCUGGGGAAUUCUGGGGAAGCAAAUUAUUGCUUCUCCACAGUGAAUCAGCCACAUUUCUGAUAACGUGAGCUACCCUUCUUUUCUAGAGAUGAACCAUCACAAAACCAUGACUGGAAAGUGUGGGGACCAAGCACUCAGGGAGUUGGCUGAUGCAGCUGCUUCCCUGGCCCUGUGCUGUGGUCAGCCCUUCCUCAUGGCAUGAGCCACCAGAGGUGGGGACUGCUUCUGUCUUGGCUACUCCUCAUCAGUGCUUUGAGCUGCACAAAGCCCUGAGAACCAAGGCAGCACGAGUGCACCACCAGGGAUUUGCUCCUCUCAUAGUCUACACCUGAAGCACUGCACAAAGUUCCACUCUUUGCUUCUGCAGGUAGGAGCUCAAUCUAAUUUAUGGAUUUGGUUUUAGUUUAGAAGCAAGGCAAUAAUCCUAAAAUAACUCAGAGGGUCACCCUCUUCUAGAAACAACAUGGUUUCAUCAUUUUCUCUCCAUUUUCUGGAGGAAGCAGCCAGCUUGAGGAGGGAAUGCUGGCGCAUACCCCACUUGAUAGCUGAGAAGAGCAAACUGACAAAUUUUUUAAUAUGCUGCAUCUUAUCAACAACCCAGUGAAUAAAGGGCAAAUGAGAUUUUCCACUGGUUAUUCACAGAUCUACAUGGUUGAAUGCUGAUAAUCUGCCAUUUAGUCCAGAGACUGGACAGAAAUAAAUCACCAGAUAAAAUACAAUAUUCCUAGUGAAAUCCUUUAUGAAAUGUGUUCUUGCCCCAAACCCCUCCUGGAAUAGGCACAGUAAUGCUCCCUGAGACCUGGCAGCCCUUUGAAGUGAGCAUAUGGUCUGCUCAGCUCUCGCAGCUCUGGUGCACGGUGAGUAAACACGCUGAACUGUCAGAGCAAACAGGGGGCUCUUUAAUAGCACGGAAUUCUGUGCCUGCUUCAAACUCCAUCACUACUCCAGAAAUGGAUUUCCCUUCUCUGCUGGAGCGUGCACUGUUUGCAGGAGGAGCAGGAAAAAAAGUGAGAGAGUCUCCUCGGAUGGUGUCUGUAACCAUCUCCCACAAAGCUGGAAAUGCUGUGGAAGGGUCUCGAUGUGUUGAAAGUUUCAUUUUCUGGUGAUGCUACAUCACCUUCUCCAUUAUUUUAAGAUGUCCUCUGAUGCAUUGUAACUUGCUCAGUAAUUGGAAUAGAAAGAGAGGCCUGAAGGUAAAAAUCCCGAUGUUAAUCAAGGCUGGCAAAGGGCAGAACAUUAGCUGCAGUAAUUGUUUUUCUGAGGGAGUCAACAAAGCCGGGCUCGUCUGCGCUAGCAAACAGAUCCGGUCCUGCCUCUGUGCUCCUCACACUGGCAGAACAUUGCCCUGAAAUCACUGGAGCAGGGAUCGGGCCAGGAAUGAGCAGCUAAGUUGCAAAGCAAAUUAAUUCCUGCCAAAAAAGUUCAGCUAUGCUCAGAAGUAUGUAAAGUGUCUGAUUUGAGAAGUGUCAAGUAGCAUUUGUGACCAAUUAUCCAAGAUGAAGGGGGCAGAGCUAUGUUUACAUGUACUAAUCUUCAGCCAAAGUUUGAAAACUCUAAUUCAUGGACACGCAUCAAAUUUCUUUUCCAGGCUUGGCAUUUGCCUGUACGCACGCAUGCACAUUGCUCGGGGAUGACAGGAAAACAUGAUUAUGACUUGCAAAUAAUACAAAUAAGAAAAAAAAAGAAAAAGCAAGAAGAGCUGCCAUGCAGCAGCAGCCUGGUAAUUAAACCUAUGCUGUGAUAUGCAAAAAGAAUCAUGGACUACUGUAUGAGUAAAAUAGCUUUAUCAGCUGUGCUGAAAUAUGA